AGACACUGCGGUACAGACGGGGGCAGCGGCGGCGGCGGCGGCUGCACCGGCGGCGGCGGCACCACACAAACAAGGACGCUGAUUGGGCAGCUGCCAAGCGCCUCGGCUCCGCCUUACUCACACGCCACGACGCCCAUUGGACAACCUGAGCCGGCCACCCCGCCCUCCUCUUCGUAGAUCUACCAAUAAAAGCCAGGAUGCUGAGGCUUCGCCCCACCCUUGAACAAUUCAAACUCCAGCCUUGAAGAGGAACUUUCAGUCAGGAAUGAUCAAGCUCUCGGGAGGACAGGUGAGAGACUUCGAAGGCCAUGUAGAGGAACCGGAGCCUUCAAUCCACAACUUCAGUUACAGCCAACCCUCGGGAACAAACACCUUCAGGGCUCUGGGAGAGCAUUCUACCAUGCUCAAGUGCCGGUGGGGAAGGGUCUUUCGCUUGAAGACCUCAGCAAUCAGUAGGACCUCUCUCUUCAUCCGGGAACCACCCUACCCCCGGGAUUGGCACUAAAAGUUCCUGUGCGCCAUCUGCUUCAUCGAUACUUCCACCCUCCUUCCCCAAGGCGUUUCUGUUGUUAGCUAAUUCCCUUCAGUAAUUGGUUUUGCAGCUCUGUUAGGAGUUGUUUCCUGUGUUG